rnacentral:lncRNA from 1 species
AUAGCAUUCAAAACUUUAAAAAAUGUUGUCACCACUUUUAAGGUAAAAAUCUUUUACAAAUUGUGCAUCGAAUAUAUUUAGAACAUUAUUAUAUUUUUUAAUAUUUGAAACAAAGAAAUAAGAUCUAUAAUAGAAGCAAGUUCAAUCCAAAACUUAUCAAUUCCAAGUUUAUAAUUUUUAGUAAGCUUUGUUACAAUGUACACAACAUUGCCAAUUGUACUUAUUCCAUGCAUUAUAAGCACUAGAACAUAUUUCUUCUAUUACUUUUGAAGCUUUAAAUAGGUACUUUUCUUAAAUAUUAAAGCCUUUGCAUAUAAAAAUAUUACAAGAAUUGAUAAUAAUAUAUUUUAAAAUAUUUAUAA